AGAAGGAGCUAGCCGCCCUGAGGAAGUCCCCUCCUGUCGGUAUCCAGGUGUCGCUACCUUCAGACGACCUGCACGUGUGGGAGGCUGUCAUUCCGGGGCCACAGGACUCCCUGUAUAAAGGAGGGAAGUUCAAGAUUCAGAUACUUCUUCCCGAAAACUACCCCCUUGGGCCUCCAAUCGUGCGCUUCAUCACGCCGAUCUACCACCUGAACGUGA